rnacentral:rRNA from 1 species
AACGUACCCGGGAGUGGGGGAUAACUAUCCGAAAGGAUAGCUAAUACCGCAUAUUCUGUGCGCAGGAAAGCAGGGGAUCUUCGGACCUUGUGCUCCCGGAGCGGCCGAUGUCAGAUUAGCUAGUUGGUGGGGUAAAGGCCUACCAAGGCGACGAUCUGUAGCGGGUCUGAGAGGAUGAUCCGCCACACUGGAACUGAGACACGGUCCAGACUCCUACGGGAGGCAGCAGUGGGGAAUUUUGGACAAUGGGCGCAAGCCUGAUCCAGCCAUGCCGCGUGAGUGAAGAAGGCCUUCGGGUUGUAAAGCUCUUUCGGCCGGGAAGAAAUCGUAUAGGUUAAUACCCUGUGCGGAUGACGGUACCGGCAUAAGAAGCACCGGCUAACUACGUGCCAGCAGCCGCGGUAAUACGUAGGGUGCGAGCGUUAAUCGGAAUUACUGGGCGUAAAGCGUGCGCAGGCGGUUUUUUAAGAUAGGCGUGAAAUCCCCGGGCUCAACCUGGGAACUG